UCACGAAUAAGAAAAUAAUGCAAGUUAAAGACAAACAUUGCCAGUAAAUUAAGUGAAACGACCAUUGUUUAUAGAUAAACAGAGAUGAGAUUCUUAUCAUUAAUCUCUCAUUAUUUCAGAUUUCCGCAUAAAAACACUAGAGGGAGCAUCGAGACAGGAUAUCUAUCAUCGUGUGAACACUCUAAAGGAAUUAUUCUUUCAUAGUUAUUUUACAUAUCAAUGUAACGACUGAGAGUAACGGGGCGAUCUGAGAGUCACUGGAAUAUCCCUACUCCGCGGGAAUGCCUUCACGAGAGUUUUGGAGCGGUUCGGUGCGUCUGCCGCACCUCACUGUGAUUAAUAACAUUAUCUGAUAGAGAUCGACCGGUGAGGGUGGGGGGGGGGGUAGAUUUACAUAUCAGCAAUUGACCAGAUCUCUUACAUAAAGGACGAGAAGGAGAAGCCGGUAGUUCCUCGUGCCACGUAAUCCUCGUGUUAUAGUACGCGCCUUCGGUUUCUCGAUGAAGCACGAGGGGGAACUACACUCUUAACCAAUCACCUGCUCUGUUAGCCAAAAGUGUCGGACUUGCGUUCUGGAAGGUUGUUUUGUCUGUGGGGAUCUUUCUGGACUUCUUGAAUUUGGUGACAGAUAGUUUGUAGGACCUUAUCAUGAUGUUCUUUAUGAUUCUGGACUUCUUGGUGCAGGCUUUAAGUCGAAUUUUCUUCCGGUUUAGUGUAUCUUGCUCGAAUCUGGUUCUCCACGUACUUCAUUGCUUCACUACUUGAGAAAAUGAAGUCUGUCUAUUCAGAAGCAAUCCUUGGAAUCUUAAUUAUUAGUACUUUGGAGCUAAUGGCAGUUCAUUUGGAUCCUUAUCCGUAUUUGUCCCACAUGAAAAGAGGCACGUUGCAAGAUAAAAUUAAAAGCAAAUUAGAUAAGUUCUUCAAUAGACUGUUGGCUCCAGAAUCAAGCACAAGAUUCACAGUGCCUGAAAGUCUCAAAGAUGAGAAACAUGGAAUUAAAAUGGGAAUAGCCAGUUCUCUUUGUGAUGAU
rnacentral:misc_RNA from 1 species